GCUAGGUUCCGGAACCUGACCUGAGCUGGGGCCUGUGCUUCCAGCGGGUGGUGGGGGGCCUGGUGUGCUGGCAUCAAGUAAGCCGACUACCUCGGCAAAGGCUUAGGGACAAGAGACCAGCAGCCUGAACUGGCUGGGGCAUCCGGAAGGCUUAGAUCUUGUGGCCAAGAGUUCAGACCGUGGCGAAGUGGAGAGUGACAUGCAGUUGGAUGGCGGUGACUGCGUGGUCCUGCAACCCUGGUUCCAGUCUGGCAAGCAUUGUAGACCUGGCUGCUGAAGACUGACGGGGCCCAGGGUCCGCUGCCCCCACCGCCAUCACCACCUCGGAACCCAGGGUAACGCUGUCAGUCUUUGAUGAUGUCAGAAGUGGGAUCCAAAGUAGAGCUUAUAAUGACACCUAGGAGUGCUGAGUGACCAAGCAAGGUACCCACCAGGCCGAUUAUGUCCAUUGUUCUCUUGGAGCAGCUGGUCAUCAUGGGAAAGGGUGCCACACUGGGAAUGCAAGCUGUCCUUGCUUCUGAACCAAGACUACUAUUGUGC
rnacentral:lncRNA from 1 species